rnacentral:lncRNA from 1 species
AAUAGCAUGUCUUGGUGGGUUCUGUUGGAAAUGUGGAAUGCAGUUUCGUUGUGUUGGAAAAUGGCACUGACUGGGAACCUAUUCGAUCCUUUAAAUCUCCUCGUUUAUCUCGAAAAGCUGUCUUAUGUUGAAACACAUAAUCUCCUAGUGUUUGAGUGUACCUGACAAACUGCCUGAAGCAGUUCCGCAUUGAAACGGUUACCUUGUCCGUGACGAUUGCAAUCGAAAUAAAUGUUACAUAAAAUGGUUAUUUAAAAAGCUGACAUUAAGACGUUUAUUAAACUGAACAUUACAGGUAAAAAGAAAUUGUGCGCAUAAUGUGCAACUUUGUCUUUCCAAAUGUGGGAAAAACAAUCCUCGUCGAUCAAAGCAAUUCACAUAUCCACAGGUAAACAAAUUGGCAGCAAUGGUACAUUCCUGUCUUGCAAUCUUACCAGUAACGGUAGCCUCUGCUUACACAUAAAAAGUAAUAUUUUUAACUAUUUUCCAAAGAUGAAUUUCUAUUAGCAAAACACGAACAUACCCGUAUCCGUAACCGCCGUAAGGACCAGGGUAGCCGUAGCCACCGUAGGAGUGCCCAUAUCCGCCAUAGUAAGCUGAACGACCUAAGCCAUAACCGUAUCCAGCUCCAAGAGCUUUUCCUAUCAAGAGUCCAGCAAGAAAUUGUCGUUUAGGUCUUGCAUUUUCAACUGCUGGAUCUGCUGAGACUACGACGGAAACUGCAGGCUUUUCGACUUCCACUGGAAUGGCGGAGCAAUACGCCACCAUCACAGCGAGGAACAAAGCGGCCUUGUAAACGUGAAGCGUAUGGUGAGAUUGUUGGAAUAUGAAUAUGAUCCAAAAAUAAAUUUGAAUUGUCAUAAUGCUUAUCAAACAUAUAGUAACAUACCAAGAAAAAGUGACUGCGCGACAUGAUGUCUGUUACGUUCGCUGGUAUAAGCUUAAAUGCGGUACUGUCACAGAGGGAAGUCCACUGUUUAUAUAUUCAACUGCCAAGGCCGCGUGAGAAAGAUACCACUUCCAAGGUACAGUUUGCUGCGUAUUAUGAAGCCAUCGAUGCUCGAGACGAGAUGGAAAACACUCAAGGUCUGAUGGUUGCAUAAUUUCCUUCAUUCUUUUCGCUCUACCAUACCUGAGAUCAGCUCCUUCCUGCCUCUUUCAUCACGUAUAGCUAUGAAGUUGUGAAUGUCACGGUUGACGACGCAACCCUUUUUUUUAUUGAAAACAAUUAUCAGUAUGUCUUUAAUUAAAGAGUAAAGGUGUGGUAUGCAAUUGACGGUUACUUCUGUUUUUUAACGACUUUGACAAGGAGAUGAAUAGACACUUUCAUGAAAGUAACUAUUUGAUAUAGCAAAGAUCUCAAAUCACCUUAGGAGCUGUUCAAGUAUUUGUUGGUUGAUGUGUUGUUGAGGACGCACCACCGCAACGAAAAGUGGAAACGAUGGAAACCAUUUGUGGAAAAUGGAAAACUUGUUUCUACUUUAAGACUUUAAGAAAUUGGCAACCCUGCAGUCAUAUCGGUAUGAUUUGCUACCGGCUCGAUUUUUAGACACUUAGAGAGAAGGGUGCUCCGAUUUGUGGCCGUUACUGAAGAAGGCUAUGAAAAUGCUCCAUUGGUUUGGCUUGUGGAACAAGUGUACUGGUCAGGAUAAAUGACAUUUAACAAUUUUGGAAAUUCUUCUCGUCAUCCAGGAAAUAUGGAUAACUCAGAGAUUCCAUGAAAUUAAAAGAGCAUUUGACAGCAGACGUUGGUUUUUACAUUGGUACCUGAACCAGUAUGAAAGUUGUUUGUUCAGUUGUACCAACUUGCUACUUUCUUGGAACCAAUAGCUAGAAAAUUGUUGACCAUGGAGUGGUGCCCAGUUAACUGUGACUGCAAUUGAAAAUCUACUCGACAAAGCUGAAAUUGGCCCAAUAUCCUGAGACUGAAAUUGAAAAAAAAGAUACUUUAGGAACUGUUUUAAAAAGUUUAUGUGACAUUCCUGAAAUAAAAAAAGGAAAAGUCGAUCGCCCCUCAACUCCAGAGGGCACUAGUUACGGGGAAGGGUAGGCCUUUUAACCGUUUUUUUCUUUUUGUUAUUAUGUGAAACCUUCUUGAAGUCUUUCCGCUGAUAUUCAGGUUUUUUUUUUCGUUAGCUAUUUUAUUGAGAUUCUCAUACGAUAUUAUAGUUUAUUUUUAAAUCUUACUCACGUUUCCCAGAUGUAGAUUGAUACUUGUAGGGAAGAGAUUGUACUCAUAAAAUUUUUCAUACCUUUUCCUUGCAAAAACUCUUCAUCAGGUCAUUGUAGUUAUAUCAUAGUUGUCUAUCUUGUAGCAGCCAAUUGUGAUACUGCCGUAGUUGACUGCAGUUGGUUGUAUUUGUAGUCUGUGAAAAGAAAAUUAAUGCAAGCAGUAUGAAACAACAAAUAAAAAACCUGUGUAUCCUUGAA